rfam:Schistosoma rodhaini strain Burundi genome assembly, scaffold: SROB_scaffold0002623
AUCUAACUGACGAGUCCUAAAUAGAAUGAAACUCAUGUCCUAUAU